GCUCCCAUGGUGUAGCCUGGAUAGCAUAUCAGCUUGCGGAGCUGACGACGGGGGUUCAAAUCCCUCUGGGAGCG
rnacentral:tRNA from 1 species